AAUACUAUUAAUGUAUAGCACCAAUGACUUGGUACUAUUAAGUUUUCUGCCCUUAGAUUAAAAGAUGUGCUGUUAGGAUGAUGUGGGCCCUCUACGGUUGAGUGAGUGGCUGGUUGAAUAGUAUAAUUGAACGGAUGAAAAUGAUAAAAGAGAUAAAUCUAACGGUAGAAAACUUAAUAGCGCCAAAUACUUCGUACUAUCGAUAGUAUAUCAGCUGGUCUCAAUUAAAAUAAUUAUGUAGAUAAAAUAUAUUAUAUAUUAUAAUAUUUUUGUUAUAAAAUUAUUAAUUAUGCUAUAUUAAUACAUAUUAUUUAUACUUAAAUAUUAUAAAAAAAUUAUUUUUAUUAAAUUUAAGUUGAAGUAGUAUUUUUUUAAAAAAAAAUUUAUUCUUCUGAUAAAUUAUUUUUUAAAAUUAUAUUAUAUAUAAUCAACUGUCAGUAUUUUUCACUAUCCUCUACUAUUUAAUAAAAUUAAUCAAACGCAAUUUAAAAUUAUUUCUGAGAAUAGCAGCAUUACAAACUAAACACAAUUUUACUUUCAUUUCUAAAUUAUUUCAG
rnacentral:lncRNA from 1 species